GACGAACGCUGGCGGCGUGCCUAAUACAUGCAAGUUGAGCGCUGAAGGUUGGUACUUGUACCAACUGGAUGAGCAGCGAACGGGUGAGUAACGCGUGGGGAAUCUGCCUUUGAGCGGGGGACAACAUUUGGAAACGAAUGCUAAUACCGCAUAAAAACUUUAAACACAAGUUUUAAGUUUGAAAGAUGCAAUUGCAUCACUCAAAGAUGAUCCCGCGUUGUAUUAGCUAGUUGGUGAGGUAAAGGCUCACCAAGGCGAGGAUACAUAGCCGACCUGAGAGGGUGAUCGGCCACAUUGGGACUGAGACACGGCCCAAACUCCUACGGGAGGCAGCAGUAGGGAAUCUUCGGCAAUGGACGAAAGUCUGACCGAGCAACGCCGCGUGAGUGAAGAAGGGUGUCGGAUCGUAAAACUCUGUUGGUAGAGAAGAACGUUGGGGAGAGUGGAAAGCUCAUCAAGUGACGGUAACUACCCAGAAAGGGACGGCUAACUACGUG
rnacentral:rRNA from 1 species